rnacentral:rRNA from 1 species
GAUGAACGCUAGCGGGAGGCCUAACACAUGCAGCCGAGCGGUAGAGUUUCUUCGGAAACUUGAGAGCGGCGCCCGGGUGCGUAACACGUGUGCAACCUACCUUUAUCUGGGGGAUAGCCUUUCGAAAGGAAGAUUAAUACCCCAUAAUAUAAUGAUUGGCAUCAAUUAUUAUUGAAAACUCCGGUGGAUAGAGAUGGGCACGCGCAAGAUUAGAUAGUUGGUGAGGUAACGGCUCACCAAGUCAAUGAUCUUUAGGGGUCCUGAGAGGGAGAUCCCCCACACUGGUACUGAGACACGGACCAGACUCCUACGGGAGGCAGCAGUGAGGAAUAUUGGACAAUGGGUGAGAGCCUGAUCCAGCCAUCCCGCGUGAAGGAUGACGGUCCUAUGGAUUGUAAACUUCUUUUGGACAGGGAUAAACCUACCCUCGUGAGGGUAGCUGAAGGUACUGUACGAAUAAGCACCGGCUAACUCCGUG